rnacentral:rRNA from 1 species
GACGAACGCUGGCGGCGUGCUUAACACAUGCAAGUCGAACGGAAAGGCCUGCUUUCCCUUGUGGAUUGCGGGUACUCGAGUGGCGAACGGGUGAGUAACACGUGAGUGAUCUGCCCCCAACUUGGGUAUAAGCCUGGGAAACUGGGUCUAAUUCCCGAUAGGACUGCAGGGUGGUGCCUGUGGUGGAACACGAUUUUCUAGUGGUUGGGGAUGAGCUCGCGGCCUAUCAGCUUGUUGGUGGGGUAAUGGCCUACCAAGGCGGCGACGGGUAGCCGGCCUGGGAGGGUGGACGGCGACAGUGAGACUGAGAUACGGCCCAGACUCCUACGGGAGGCAGCAGUGGGGAAUAUUACACAAUGGGCGGAAGCCUGAUGCAGCGACGCCGCGUGGGGGAUGACGGCCUUCGGGUUGUAAACUCCUUUCGACCGCGAGGAAGCCACCUGGUUGGAAGGGUGGUGACGGUAGUGGUAGAAGAAGCACCGGCUAACUACGUG